UUCCCUUUUCCCUGUGAUUUCCCAAUCCCCCUUCUUCUCUGUUCCCUCUCUCACGGACGAAGCAAGCCGAGAGCUCCGGCGAUCUCCCUCUGCCGCCAUCGACACCCUAAGAUCAGAUCCGACUGGUGUUCUUCCUCUCCAGGCCAUCUUCGGUCCAGCGGUCGCUUCUCUGGUGGUUCCUGCGGCCGAUCGUCGACGGCGUCACGGCUAGGGCACGGUGAGGGUCGAAUCUCGCUUCGUCUCCAACUGGUAGGCCUUCCCUCUCCUCUCCUCGCACUGCUUACUGUGUGAUCCACCUCUUCACGGUUGGAUUUAGAUCGAGGGGCGCCACCGAGGAUUGAUCUUGGAGAGACAUCAUCAGAAAGGGAUCUUGGUGCCGGAUACAGAUUCUUGGCUGAGAUCACCAAGUGCUCACUGGAAGCAAAGACAAGCACCUAAUUCCAUUUCUGAGGUUUAUUGAUCAAGUGCAUGGGAUUAGAGAAGUUGAGUGGAGUGGAAUCCAGUAGGUGGUUGUGCUGUGAAUUUUGCUAGUUUCGGAAGCAACCUCAUCUAGCAGAUUACCUUGUUUCAACAGCAACAACAACUGGAAUUAAGGACUUUGAUUCGAGACAGGCGUCUCGACCUUGGAUUGCUUGAUCGUACCUUCUAUUUGAG